AAGGCCUGGCCAGUCAGUGAAUCGCAAAUGCGAGACCUCCUUUGCUCGAUUGUUAAGGAAGGUUGUAGCAAUAUAAAAGUUGCUUGAAAUUUCAGCAACAUGUUUAGGAGAAAUUUUGAGAUUUUGAGGAAGAGGCUCUCAAUUUUGGAUCACAGAAAAGUGGAGUUUCGACCACUAUUCGAGUAGCACACAUAGCCCAGGCACGAUGCAUGUCCACAAGACCACAAGUAUAGUCAGUUCGGCUGAACUUGAGUAAGCGUACUCAUGGUGCCGCGGUUAAAUUAAGCUUGAGUGUUUAUGCUCAUGGCAGCACAGUCGGAUUGACUUGGAUGAACGUACCUUGUCCCCACAGAUGUGCUCAUCUUGAGCUAUGUAUUAUGACACCAUCUCAGAUUAGCAGUUUGUGCAUCAUGUCUACUUUCAUUAUAUAUACUUUUGAUUUCAGUUCCACUGCUUUACUCAUAUUUCAUAUAUAUACUUGUAUUGAUAUGAUGAAGUGUUUGUACGAACUAUUAGCAAUUUUUAAAGAGUUGCUCAUGAGUAAGUUGGAA